rnacentral:rRNA from 6 species
AAGUAAAAGUCGUAACAAGGUUUCCGUAGGUGAACCUGCGGA